rnacentral:rRNA from 1 species
UACAGAGGUCUCAAGCGUUGUUCGGAUUCAUUGGGCGUAAAGGGUGCGUAGGCGGCGCGGUAAGUCGGGUGUGAAAUUUCGGAGCUUAACUCCGAAACUGCAUUCGAUACUGCCGUGCUUGAGGACUGGAGAGGAGACUGGAAUUUACGGUGUAGCAGUGAAAUGCGUAGAGAUGUGGAGGAAUACCGAUGGCGAAGGCAGCCCCCUGGGCCAAUACUGACGCUCAUGCACGAAAGCGUGGGGAGCAUACAGG